rnacentral:lncRNA from 1 species
UGAGUUUUAAGAGUUCAGAGCUCAAGUGCACGGGGAGAUGCGAUUUAUUACUAACAGUUUGAAGGUAAUGUGAUCACAUAAUAAAAUGCAGGGCACGCCCCUUUGGGUGAAAGGUCAGCAUGGGAGGGGGCCCUCCCUGCUCCGGGGCUUCAGGAACGGGAGCUGGUCCUCACGGCCCCCUCCCGCUCUGCAGGCAGCCCUGUGCCAGCCAGAGCAGCCUCAAGGACAUCAACUGGGACAGCUCGCAGUGGCAGCCGCUGAUCCAGGACCGCUGCUUCCUGUCCUGGCUGGUCAAGAUCCCCUCCGAGCAGGAGCAGCUGCGGGCACGCCAGAUCACGGCACAGCAGAUCAACAAGCUGGAGGAGCUGUGGAAGGAAAACCCUUCUGCCACGCUGGAGGACCUGGAGAAGCCGGGGGUGGACGAGGAGCCGCAGCAUGUCCUCCUGCGGUACGAGGACGCCUACCAGUACCAGAACAUAUUCGGGCCCCUGGUCAAGCUGGAGGC